AAAGUACUCCCUCCGUCCGGAAAUACUUGUCAUCAAAAUGGAUAAAAGGAGAUGUAUCUAGACAUAUUUUAGUUCUACAUACAUCCCUUUUUAUCCAUUUUGAUGACAAGUAUUUUCGGACGGAGUGAGUAGUAG
rnacentral:pre_miRNA from 1 species